UACUGGGGCGCAGCCUGAUCUAGCCAUGCCGCGUGAGUGAUGAAGGCCCUAGGGUCGUAAAGCUCUUUCAACUGUGAAGAUAAUGACGGUAGCAGUAGAAGAAACCCCGGCUAACUCCGUGCCAGCAGCCGCGGUAAUACGGAGGGGGUUAGCGUUGUUCGGAAUUACUGGGCGUAAAGCGUACGUAGGCGGAUUAAUAAGUUAGAGGUGAAAUCCCAGGGCUCAACCCUGGAACUGCCUUUAAAACUGUUAGUCUUGAGAUCGAGAGAGGUGAGUGGAAUUCCAAGUGUAGAGGUGAAAUUCGUAGAUAUUUGGAGGAACACCAGUGGCGAAGGCGGCUCACUGGCUCGAUACUGACGCUGAGGUACGAAAGUGUGGGGAGCAAACAGGAUUAGAUACCCUGGUAGUCCACACCGUAAACGAUGAAUGCCAGACGUCAGCAAGCAUGCUUGUUGGUGUCACACCUAACGGAUUAAGCAUUCCGCCUGGGGAGUACGGUCGCAAGAUUAAAACUCAAAGGAAUUGACGGA
rnacentral:rRNA from 1 species